AGAUUGAACGCUAGCGGGAUGCUUUACACAUGCAAGUCGAACGGCAGCGCGGACUUCGGUCUGGCGGCGAGUGGCGAACGGGUGAGUAAUAUAUCGGAACGUGCCCAGUAGCGGGGGAUAACUACGCGAAAGCGUGGCUAAUACCGCAUACGCCCUACGGGGGAAAGGGGGGGAUCGCAAGACCUCUCACUAUUGGAGCGGCCGAUAUCAGAUUAGCUAGUUGGUGAGGUAAAGGCUCACCAAGGCGACGAUCUGUAGCUGGUUUGAGAGGACGACCAGCCACACUGGGACUGAGACACGGCCCAGACUCCUACGGGAGGCAGCAGUGGGGAAUUUGGACAAUGGGGGAAACCCUGAUCCAGCCAUCCCGCGUGUGCGAUGAAGGCCUU
rnacentral:rRNA from 1 species